GAUGAACGCUGGCGGCGUGCCUAAUACAUGCAAGUCGAGCGAAUGGAUUGAGAGCUUGCUCUUAUGAAGUUAGCGGCGGACGGGUGAGUAACACGUGGGUAACCUGCCCAUAAGACUGGGAUAACUCCGGGAAACCGGGGCUAAUACCGGAUAACAUUUUGAACCGCAUGGUUCGAAAUUGAAAGGCGGCUUCGGCUGUCACUUAUGGAUGGACCCGCGUCGCAUUAGCUAGUGGGUGAGGUAACGGCUCACCAAGGCAACGAUGCGUAGCCGACCUGAGAGGGGGAUCGGCCACACUGGGACUGAGACACGGCCCAGACUCCUACGGGAGGCAGCAGUAGGGAAUCUUCUGCAAUGGACGAAAGUCUGACGGAGCAACGCCGCGUGAGUGAUGAAGGCUUUCGGGUCGUAAAACUCUGUUGUUAGGGAAGAACAAGUGCUAGUUGAAUAAGCUGGCACCUUGACGGUACCUAACCAGAAAGCCACGGCUAACUACGUGCCAGCAGCCGCCGUAA
rnacentral:rRNA from 1 species